CGGUUGGAGCUCGUCUCAGUUGUAUAUUAUAUAUAUUUCCACGUUUCAACUCGGCUUGGAGCCGUUCUCUGCUGUAUUUUACGUCUAUUCUGGUGUGUUUCGACCUGGGAGCGAGGUCUUGGGGCCUGUUGGCAACCGGACAGAAGUGGGCAGGCAGAGAGGGCACAGCCCACUUCGCUAGUCUCUACCCCCCCAGCCCCCUGGCUCAGCUGGGGUUUGCUCGCAACUACACAGCUCAGCCUUUCCCUCCUUCUGACGACCGGACAAAUGGAUGUGGAAGUGUGUUCUCCGAUUGGCCCUCCAUGUCGACCCCUCCUGCGAGUCUUUCUGUUCGGUUCUGCCGAUCGCUCUGGGCCUACGCUACGUGACAUCUACUGCUAGCCCGUCCUGUAGAAAACCCCCCGUCCCCCCUUCGAGAAUCGCCGCCAUUUCGGGUUUGAGAUGGAGGCCUAACGACAUAUAUCCGAACGACAUUUAAGGGAUUUUAAUGCAGAUUUCUACCUAUACCGACGUCGAGUAUUGAAGGUUUGCGUUAAGGUAGGGGUUAUACACGUUGCUAAUUUUCAAAGAAACUUAAGGUGGUUCAAGUGGCGACCGAUUGAAUGAUUGAAAUGUAAUUGUAUGUACCAGUAAGCGUAUACGAUGAAGUUAUCGUAAAGUUUACAACCAAAGCGAUGCUUAACCCAGCAGUACUAACUCCUGUGGUUGUGGUAGGCCUGAUUAUUUGAUCCUUCCUCGAAGUGACUACACCCCCCAUGGGAGCGAGGGGAAACAACGCAGUAAAGAAGUCUAUGAGUUCGGUCGCGAAACGUUGUUGUCGUUGUAGUAGCACUGUAUGCAACAGAAGGUGAAAAGCCGAUCAAACGAAAGACCACAAACCACCACGAAAACACUGACCGCCGUCGACCAGCGAUACGGGACGGGGCCUCCCGUCCUAAAACAAAUGAAGGUUAUCGAUCGCCACGGAGACAUCGACUGCCCGAAUCUCGAUUGUCUGCCAUGUGGUGGGGUCUCGAUCCCGAUCUUACCGCCCGGAGUGGGGAGGCAUGCUCCUCGGAGAACCGGUGUGAACCAGAUCCCUGAUUGUUCUGUACAUGAAGGGGCUCGUAAUGAAACCGUUCAGGGUCUCCAUUUUAGAUCGAGGCCUCUGUUUAGGCCUGGGUGCUAACGACAUGAUGAACCCUGCAGGAGUGGGCUAGCUCGCAUGCUACCAGCGGGCUACAGCUAGCGCUGCUCGCAGCGCCAGGUCACUUCCCCUGUUUGUUUGGUUUCAAACUGGUAUUAUUUGCAUUGAGCCCUGGAAGGGGCUGUGUGGCUGGCCAAGUUGUAAAUAAGUUACAACGUGGUCAAAGGAAACCACAUCCAGUCACAAAAUGGCCGAUAUGAUUAUGUGGCCUGUUGAUUCCUGAGUCAGGGAGGAAUAGGUUGAUCAUAUUAUCACGUUUUGAAUGGCUAUUGAAUAUUGAAUAGAAUUUGCGACGAAUUGAAUAUGUUUAAUUACAUGUGCAUCAGCAUGCAGGGUAAAAGCUGUAUGUACUAGAUGUAAUCGUUUCAUAGUAGCCUACUGAAUCUUAAAAAACAUUUAACAGGGUGAGGUCCUAAUGUAUAGACCCACUAGGUGUACAUUGCUUAUCCAGUUACAAUAUGUAUAGUCAACGCUAUUGAUUCAUAGUUAAUUCCAUGUCUAUUUAAUCAACAG
ensembl:lncRNA